rnacentral:rRNA from 1 species
AAUCAACGCUGGCGGCGUGCCUCAGACAUGCAAGUCGAACGCGAAAGCUCCCUUCGGGGAGCAAGUAGAGUGGCGCACGGGUGAGUAACACGUAGGUAAUCUACCUUUGGAUGGGGAAUAACAACCGGAAACGGUUGCUAAUACCGCAUAAUGCAGCGGCACCUAAUGGUGACAGUUGUUAAAGCGGGGGAUCGCAAGACCUCGCGUCUGAAGAGGAGCCUGCGGCGGAUUAGCUAGUUGGUAGGGUAACGGCUUACCAAGGCGAUGAUCCGUAGCCGGCCUGAGAGGGCGGUCGGCCACACUGACACUGACAUACGGGUCAGACUCCUACGGGAGGCAGCAGUCGGGAAUUUUGGGCAAUGGGCGAAAGCCUGACCCAGCAACGCCGCGUGAAGGAUGAAAUCCCUCGGGAUGUAAACUUCGCAAGAACGGGAAGAAUAAAGCCGGUGUCAACACCACCGGCGAUGACGGUACUGUUUGUAAGCUCCGGCUAACUCCGUGCCAGCGGCCGAC